rnacentral:ncRNA from 1 species
GUUAUUCGAGGUGGUAAAUUUCGUUGCAAUCAUGCACCCUUUGGGUUAAAAGAGAUGCAGGAGAGGCGACGCCUGCCGAAUAAC